rnacentral:rRNA from 1 species
UGGGGAAUAUUGCACAAUGGACGGAAGUCUGAUGCAGCGACGCCGCGUGGGGGAUGAAGGCUUUCGGGUUGUAAACUCCUUUUGAUGCUGAACAAGGCUCUUUUUAGGGUUGAGGGUAGGUGUUGAAUAAGCGCCGGCUAACUACGUGCCAGCAGCCGCGGUAAUACGUAGGGCGCGAGCGUUGUCCGGAAUUAUUGGGCGUAAAGGGCUCGUAGGCGGUUUGUCGCGUCUGCUGUGAAAGACCGGGGCUUAACUCCGGGGUUGCAGUGGGUACGGGCAGACUAGAGUGCGGUAGGGGUAGCUGGAAUUCCUGGUGUAGCGGUGGAAUGCGCAGAUAUCAGGAGGAACACCGAUGGCGAAGGCAGGUUACUGGGCCGUUACUGACGCUAAGGAGCGAAAGCAUGGGGAGCGAACAGG